rnacentral:rRNA from 1 species
GAUGAACGCUGGCGGCGUGCCUAAUACAUGCAAGUCGAGCGAACGGACGAGAAGCUUGCUUCUCUGAUGUUAGCGGCGGACGGGUGAGUAACACGUGGAUAACCUACCUAUAAGACUGGGAUAACUUCGGGAAACCGGAGCUAAUACCGGAUGAUAUUUUGAACCGCAUGGUUCAAAAGUGAAAGACGGUCUUGCUGUCACUUAUAGAUGGAUCCGCGCUGCAUUAGCUAGUUGGUAAGGUAACGGCUUACCAAGGCAACGAUGCAUAGCCGACCUGAGAGGGUGAUCGGCCACACUGGAACUGAGACACGGUCCAGACUCCUAUGGGAGGCAGCAGUAGGGAAUCUUCCGCAAUGGGCGAAAGCCUGACGGAGCAACGCCGCGUGAGUGAUGAAGGUCUUCGGAUCGUAAAACUCUGUUAUUAGGGAAGAACAUAUGUGUAAGUAACUGUGCACAUCUUGACGGUACCUAAUCAGAAAGCCACGGCCAACUACGUG